rnacentral:rRNA from 1 species
GACACACUAUCAUUAACUGAAUCCAUAGGUUAAUGAGGCGAACCGGGGGAACUGAAACAUCUAAGUACCCCGAGGAAAAGAAAUCAACCGAGAUUCCCCCAGUAGCGGCGAGCGAACGGGGAGGAGCCCAGAGCCUGAAUCAGUGUGUGUGUUAGUGGAAGCGUCUGGAAAGGCGCGCGAUACAGGGUGACAGCCCCGUACACAAAAAUGCACAUGCUGUGAGCUCGAUGAGUAGGGCGGGACACGUGGUAUCCUGUCUGAAUAUGGGGGGACCAUCCUCCAAGGCUAAAUACUCCUGACUGACCGAUAGUGAACCAGUACCGUGAGGGAAAGGCGAAAAGAACCCCGGCGAGGGGAGUGAAAAAGAACCUGAAACCGUGUACGUACAAGCAGUGGGAGCCUCUUUUAUGGGGUGACUGCGUACCUUUUGUAUAAUGGGUCAGCGACUUAUAUUCUGUAGCAAGGUUAACCGAAUAGGGGAGCCGAAGGGAAACCGAGUCUUAACUGGGCGU